rnacentral:rRNA from 1 species
AUUGAACGCUGGCGGCAUGCCUUACACAUGCAAGUCGAACGGCAGCACGGGAGCUUGCUCCUGGUGGCGAGUGGCGAACGGGUGAGUAAUGCAUCGGAACGUGCCCUGAAGUGGGGGAUAACGUAGCGAAAGUUACGCUAAUACCGCAUAUUCUGUGAGCAGGAAAGCAGGGGAUCUUAGGACCUUGUGCUUUAGGAGCGGCCGAUGUCGGAUUAGCUAGUUGGUGGGGUAAAGGCCUACCAAGGCGACGAUCCGUAGCUGGUUUGAGAGAACGACCAGCCACACUGGGACUGAGACACGGCCCAGACUCCUACGGGAGGCAGCAGUGGGGAAUUUUGGACAAUGGGCGAAAGCCUGAUCCAGCCAUGCCGCGUGAGUGAAGAAGGCCUUCGGGUUGUAAAGCUCUUUCGGCGGGGACGAAAUGGCGCGGGGUAACAUCCCGCGUCGAUGACGGUACCCGAAGAAGAAGGACCGGCUAACUACGUGCCAGCAGCCGCAGUAAUAC